UUCAAGGUGUAGUUUAUUCGUUAUUUUUCUCUAUUUUAAAAGAUUGACUAUAAAUUAAGAGUGGAAGAAUGCUCAUUUUGAUGUUACUUAAAAGCAAAUUUUUAUUUCUUGGAUGAUCUUGUAGUUAAUUCAGGAACAUUCACUCCAGAAAAUAACUAUACCUACGGUCUCAAAGAAAGCAUGAUAGUGCCUUUGUUUCAUUUGGAACGGAGACAGUGUAAAGGAAGGAUUUAUAAAAAUGAUAGAAGUGAUUAUUCAACAAAAGAGAAGAAAUUGCAGUUAAUUUUGAUGCUACUGAAGUAAUAUAUACUUUUGAUGUCUUCACGUUGUAACAUCAUGGAGUUAAUUUUGAACUUUUGAGGAGGAGGCAACUAGAAAUUAAUUUAGAAAGGACUGAAACAACAGGUUGUCUGCAGUGGUUUUCCUCUUGGAUUUAGCUUGCCCAUUACACUUGGAGACUUUAAAAUACUACUUCCUGCAGUUAAUUAAGAUUAUCGAACAAAUGAGUUCAGUUUGGCUGUACUGAAACGGCCAAUGUCUACAUGGGUGUUGUCUAUUCUGGACUUGGUCUUGAUUUGCUAUUUUUGUCUUCACCUCGCAACGUAUGCAGUUAAUUUUCAACCGAUAAGUGGAAGCAACUGGAAACUUAUUUGAACAACAGACUUUCUGCCGUGGUAUUCUGGAUUUGGUUUGCUUUUUACACCUGCAAACAUUGAGAGGUUGCAGUCUACAGUUAAUUAAGAUCGACGCUGGAGAAGACAAAGAUGACCCCGUAGUUGAAA
rnacentral:lncRNA from 1 species